AUGGCGGUCAUGGAGUCGACUAUGAGUAGUAAGCAGGAUCAGAGCAGGAGCUACACAGCAUCUACCAACAAAGCAAGAACCUAAUAAGACAACUGGGCAAUCAGGAGAGAGUGCAACAUUAAGAGUGUUCAUGGACUGUGGACAGGUAUCAGACUAGCAGAGACAGGUAUCAGACUAGCAGAGACAGGUAUCAGAUUGGCAGAGACAGGUAUCAGACUAGCAGAGACAGGUAUCAGAUUGGCAGAGACAGGUAUCAGACUGGCAGAUACAGGUAUCAGACUAGCAGAGACAGGUAUCAGAUUGGCAGAGACAGGUAUCAGACUGGCAGAUACAGGUAUCGGACUGGCAAAGACAGGUAUCAGAUUGGCAGAUACAGGUAUCAGACUAGCAGAGACAGGUAUCAUACUGGCAGAGACAGGUAUCAGAUUAGCAGAGACAGGUAUCAGAUUGGCAGAUACAGGUAUCAGAUUAGCAGAGACAGGUAUCAGAUUGGCAGAUACAGGUAUCAGACUGACAGAGACAGGGAUCAGACUAACAGAGACAGGUAUCAGACUGGCAGAUACAGGUAUCAGACUAGCAGAGACAGGUAUCAGACUAGCAGAGACAGGUAUCAGACUGACAGAGACAGGGAUCAGACUAACAGAGACAGGUAUCAGAUUGGCAGAUACAGGUAUCAGACUGGCAGAGACAGGUAUCAGACUAGCAGAGACAGGUAUUAGACUGGCAGAUACAGGUAUCGGACUGGCAAAGACAGGUAUCAGACUGGCAGAUACAGGUAUCAGCCUAACAGGGGUGUAUUAGAGGGUAAAAGCACAUAAAUGCACAUUUAUGCACCUUAUUAAUUACAGAACAGUGCUUACUUAACUUUUUAUGAUCGUUUACCGACUUGUCAGUAUGCAAUUUAGACAUUAGAGUGUAGAAUAUACUCUGUCGUUCACUACUUUAGCAUACACCAGCACGCCACACUGCCCCUGCCAACAAACUGGCACACGGCCCCCAGCUUCACUCCGCAGCAACGCAGUGCUGAUUAAUGCAGGUUCUGCAGCAUGCAUGCAGAGCAUCAAACAACAUUUUGCAAGAAUUGACCCCCCGACCCCCCCCCCCCCCCCCAAAACACAGAUGGAGAUUGAAAAUGCCAUCGAGAUCUUUAGCCUGCAGACUGAUGCUGACUGCAGUAAAGUUAGCUGGCUAGUAGAUAAAUGAUUAAUAGACAGCCUAUCUGGAUCAGGGCAACUGUAUUUCCCUUUGAGCUAGCUGGACAUUAAGUUACCCAUUUAUCCACUUCACAAUAAUAAUAAUAAUAACAAUAAUAAUGUGAUGAUGAUGAUGACGAUGAUGAUGAUGAUGAUGAUAAUUAUGAUAAUGAUGGUGAUGAUGACGACGACGAUGGUGAUGAUGACGAUGAUGAUGAUUAUGAUGAUGGUGAUGAUGAUGAUAAUGAUAAUGAUGAUAAUUAUGAUGGUGAUGAUGAUGAUGAUGACAACGAUGAUGAUAACGACGACAGUGAUGCUGGGUGCUGAAGCCCCGUGUCCUGCCUCCGCGCUCCUGUUCCCCAGCCCGGACUGUGCGGGGCGACCCGGUCCAGACGCAGAUGUGCGUGUCGCCCAGCGCUCCCUCUGUAAACAAUAAUCAUUUUAAUGAGGCUGUUGACAGAAGGACCCCCUAAGUAUUUUUCCAUGGCGGGGUCACGCCAAACCAACUUGCAAGGCAGCUGUGUAUCCGCAUCACGCCGAGAGAUUCCUGAGAAUCCUGCCUCCCACGAGGCUUCGCCCAACACGGAAUCAUAUACGCCCUUCACUGCGUCCUGAUGAGCGAAUCCCCAGUGGGCUAAAACACUGUUCUGGCGAUCAGAAGUUUGCCGGUUUAAAUACCAGGGAGAUUAGAGUGAACGCCACAUGGGGGCCCUUAAAGGAGGAAAAAAAUACAAUGAAAAAUGCAACAGCAAUGUCUCGUACCAGGAAUCAUGACCCAGUUAUCAAAGAUAAUCCACAGACUUUGUAGUGAGCAGUUUAAUAUAGGAACUACUUUGUUCCGCACACACCAAUCGUAUCACUGCGGAGAAGAUAGCGCAGUGAUUUUUUUAUCUUUUUUUGGGUGAACUGGCCUCCAGGGACUCUGGUCCUGCUUUAUCUAUCGUAUGGUGCUUUGGACGAAAGCGACUGCUAAGUAAAAGUAAGAGCAUGUAACCAGGAGAGGUGAGAAACCGGACUGGUGAAUCGGCUCAGAGCGCCCCCUGCCUGUCGCAUACAGCAUGCAGCAUCUGCGAUUAAAACGUGUGCUUCUCCUCAUUAACGGCUGCCAUG